CCUACGGGAGGCAGCAGUGGGGAAUAUUGGGCAAUGGGCGCAAGCCUGACCCAGCAAUGCCGCGUGAAGGAAGAAGGCUUUCGGGUUGUAAACCUCUUUGACAGGGGAAGAGCAGAAGACGGUACCCUGAAAACAAGCCACGGCUAACUAAGUGGCAGCAGCCGCGGUAAUACGUAGGUGGCAAGCGUUGUCCGGAGUUACUGGGUGUAAAGGGCGUGUAGCCGGGAAGGCAAGUCAGAUGUGAAAUCUGGAGGCUCAACCUCCAAAUUGCAUUUGAUACUGUUUGUCUUGAGUACUGGAGAGGUAGACGGAAUUCCUUGUGUAGCGGUGAAAUGCGUAGAUAUAAGGAAGAACACCAGUGGCGAAGGCGGUCUGCUGGACAGCAACUGACGGUGAGGCGCGAAAGCGUGGGGAGCAAACAGGAUUAGAUACCCGAGUAGUC
rnacentral:rRNA from 1 species